UUUUCUCUGUUCUUUCUUUAUCUCUCAGUCCUGUCCCUCCCCUACCGGAGCUCCUCCCGAGCUCGCUCAUGCGGUCCUGCCUCGGACAAACUGCUAGCUGUUGGUGAGGAGAGAAGCAGGGGACGAGCGGCAUCGACGAGGAUGCAGCGACGGUGGAAGGAGAGCUGCACGCGGGGGGCAUCUCCAGGAGCUCCACCUCAUGGUUCUCCAGAAAUUUUGGAGUCAGUGCCAUAUGCUUCCCCUUCCUCGCCUCCCCUUCAUCUUCUUCUCACUUUGAAAUUCCCCCUAUUUUUCCGAUUCUUUCCUGGUACUCCUUCCUGGCGCGGUAAAUUCGGCUACUAAGACGCACCGUCCGGUGGCGUGCUUACUUUGACGUUCAUGGCGUCAUUGGCGACUCGGAAGUUCGCAGCAGGAGCAGGGUGAAAAUAUGCGAUUUGAUCUACUUCCGUCCCUCUCCUUAGUUUAAUUUCUCUCACGUGCGGAUGCCUUCUAUCCCUAUGAACGCGGCAUGUCGGGUACACCGGUGUUCUGCGUGAUUGAGAUGCGGCAUGGGUGGGUUGGCGAUCGGGGCGUGGGGUGCUCCGGGAGCAACGCCUGCGUCGUGGAUCGUCCCUACACUGAGAGGAACCAGGCGCACGCUCGAUCCUAUUUGUUGUCCAGGAAUUGACGAGGUGGAGGAGCAGACCACUCUAUGGGCAACGACAUGCUUCAUUGCGAGGAUGCAAAAUAGAUUUGACUACGAUUCAUUGUAAAACAGAUCCAAUUCAGAGCUGAUUUCAAAUUGGUCUUGGGCAGCUCAGUAAAAGCCAACAUCAGAGAAAGAUUAUAACAGUGAAUCUUCUCAAAAUUCUUAUACCAUGCUGCACAAUAUCUUUUGGUAGUCUAUUUCACACGAACAUGGAUGAUAACGACGGUUGUUCAUCUGCCAUUCUUAAAUAAAUUUAUGCUUGGAGCAGAUAGGAGGCGAUUCAUCUGAAGUCGUGUAUGUACUUCAUGUCUUGGUGUAAUGGGGGAGGCGUUGGUGCUCUGCAGUUUUUGUUUCAGGUUGGUUGUACCUCCUUGAAUACAUCUAGGCAACAUGAGACCCUGGGAUUUGUUUCAGCUCGAUGGUUAUGUCUGAUAAGAACUUUAGCAGGAUAUUUCUUAUGCUGUUAUGCUAACGCUUCUGUCAUAAAAUAGCAACAUGAGGCGCUGGGAUUUUCAGACAUGCAUCCCUGUAGGUCCCCUUCCAUGUAUAUUGACCUGUUUUGUUUCCUUCCAGGGUUAUUGAUAUGUUUUUGUGGGUACUAAAAUGAUGUAUUUAGUGGCAAGGACCAAUAGUUCUAGAAAUGACUCCUACGAUAUUUUUAUCGUGUUUACAAGCAGCUCGACAUAUGUGUUAUUCUGCGGAGUAUAUGUUCUCUUUCAUGGUAAUCCACAUUAAGAUAAACUUCAUCACAUAUUGACCUUGGUAUGAGAUUUACGUGUUCUCUAUGUCGAUACAACAACGUAUGAUAUUUAAAUAACGUUUGAUUCACUAUAUUGUUCUUCAUAUUAAAUUAUAUUCUUUUGACACAACAAACAAUUUUCAUAUUCACAUCAGGACCAUGCAUUUAUUUCCAUUUGACAACUGACUUAAGAAGAAUUGAACAAAAUGUUGUUCGUCUGAGUUACUUGCCGUUAGUACUAAGUCUGAACACAGCUCAAAAGCCUAACUUUUGACGUACUGUUGUUUCUGCAGCAAAUUUUCUCAAAAAGCUUCAUGUUUCUUUAUUAAUGUCAAGUGUCUAAAUCUGCAAGAGGGAUAUUCCGUGUUUUUUUUUCAAGUCCAUGAUUGGUUAUAAUCCACUACUUUUCCAUAUACUCAAAAUGGUAAUUGUGAAGGAAACUACAGCCUUUGUCAGUCAAACGUCCACAUCAUUUCGCUUCCAUUAUGCUUUUCAAGCAGUUAAUUAUAGUGUCGUGUAAUUGAGCAAUGACAAGUCUAAGUUGCACAGGUUAGGAAAGUCUUGUAGCACGCAAUCCAACUAUGCUUGCUCGAAGGCUAAUCAGCCUGAAGUUCUGUGUAAAAUAGUACAAAGUUAUUUAAGCAAACAACUAUGACUCUCAUAGGUAGAUAUAUGCACCGUUCAUCCAUUUGUAAAGCACCUCUUGCUUUACCAACCAUAUUCCUGCAAAUAUGCUACUGUAUAUCAAUUGCAAUCUACAGUUCCAGGUAAGUUCAAUUGCAUGCCAAUGAUUCUGAUAUAUCUAUGCUGUACAUCCAGCUAAUAAAUAAUGAUUUAUGUCUUUUUCAUCUUCAGGAUACAGCUGGAGCUAUGUCAAGGGAAGACCACGAUCAGUUUUAUUUACUUCAUUUUGUUCCCUUUGAAAUGAAUGUUACUCCGCUCUUCUGUCAUGAGUUAAAGGUUUGCAUAUUCUCAAUGCAUAUUUUUAUUAUUAUAUUAGUGUUCAAGCCAUCGAUACAGUGUCGUGAGUUAAAGGUUUGCAUAUUCUCAAUGCAUAUUUCUUUAUUUUAUUAGUGUUCAAGCCAUCGAUACAACUCUAAUUUCUCCUGUGAAGGUACCAUUGGCAGAGAGUUUUGUUGCUAAGAUAACCAUGUUGAUUUCAGUACCACAUGUUUCUUGGAACAUCUAGAAUAGAUUAUCAAGUGAUUUUCUGUCAAUAUUCAUUUAAUUCAUUCUUGGCAAACAUGGUAUUUUUUAUCGCUUCUAUGAAAAUACUCCAGCCGCACUUACCAUUAUUCUAUUUUGCCACACACAUCAGACAAGGUAUUUGAUUUGUAGUUGUCAAGCCAAGGCAAUGAUGACACACUAUACCAUAUUCUUGGUUUCAUGGAUAGUAAGGUCAACAAGAAAAAUAAUGUGGGCACCCAAAUUGAGUGUCAUCAUGGAACCCUAGAUGUUGCAUUGAGCUACUACAUAGCACAUUGUCGCAUUGGUGGGCACCAAAUUCUCACAUGGUAGAUUCUAGAUUACUUUGUGGUAUAUGUUCUACAGAUUUCCUAGCUUUUACUUCCAUAAACAUUAGAUGCGUAUAUAUAUUUUAAGUACUGUGAGGGAGAUAAAUUAAUCAUAUUGUGAGAUUUCCUAGCACGUUGGACCAAUUUUCCGCUCUCAUAGGAGAAAUUAGUCAUAUUGGGAGGGAGAAACUAAUCAUAUUUGUUGGCACCUUGGUUUAGACAUAUAUACUAUUAACAACAAAGUUAUCUGGUCUAUUGUGUGCCCAUCAAUAUUUGUUAGUUUUGACCUGCGAGUAGGACAUAUUUUGUGAGAUGCCAAAUACGUGAUAAGAUUUUCUGUUAUUUGAGAUGGAUGAUGAGUUAGUCCCUAUAAACUGGGUUCAUUUAUUUUGCUGCUGGCAUGCAUGGUCAUUGUUCUUUUGUGAUGUGCUUUGUCUCCUAUACUGACAUUCUUUUCUACAGUAUGCUAAAUAACUAUUUUGUUCAAUUUCAUUGCCACACAUGGGUAUAAUUAUAAUCAACUUAUUUCCCAAGGUAUAUACACAAUCUCCCAAAUUUUAGCAAUGCGUAAAAGCUCCAUUUCAGAAUAAGAGUUGAAAUGGUUUGCACGUUCAAUAGUUUCAGAAGCUGAAAUGGGAUGUCUAAAACAUAGUAUUUGGGACAACCUUUUGCUCCAUUUGGUAGGAUAUACAAAAAGGUUACAAAGAGGGAUAUUGAGAGCUAUUUCCUUCAUAUGCUCUGAAUAUUUCCUUCCAUCCCUAGUUGAAUGGAUCGCCAAUAUCUUUCUGUAAUUUUCUUCCUUCUUCUUAGACACUCUUUUCCACCUUGAUCUCUUAAGCCUUGGUUAAGGCUAGCUGUAACUUGUAAAUAUUCGUUAUAUAUAAAAAAAUUACACCGUAGGGACUUUUCCCUACGGUACAGGUGUCAAAAAAAAAUAUUUCCUUCCAUGAAUAAACCUGCAAGAUUAUGAUGUUCUCGCUAUUUUUCUUUGCCACUGAAUCUAUCAUAAUUUACACACUGCAAUAAUUCAUGUUGAACACGCUCAUUUCAGCUGAAUGUCCGUUGUCUAUGCCUCUUACCUAUUGUAAGCCAAGAUUAUUUCAUGAAGUGUUAGAUUAUUUAGUUUGUCAAUGCAUAGAUGUUUAGCAUUUAUAAGAUUCUCUUUAUUUAAAUUAAUCAUGGAAAUGGUCAUCCUUAAUGAGAUAUGUCUGCUGAGAGCUGCUUUUCACUAAUCUUUUUUUCCUUUUCUUAGAUCAGUUACACCUUAAUCAUCUUAAUUUCUUCGCCGUUUUCACAAUUUAGAGCCAAUAACAGAAAUGAUAGAUAUAUCAAAUGUUAACAUAUCACAAUUUCCAGUCAUUUCAAUGAUGGUAUGCGUACUGGUAGGCUUUCCAGGUUGAUGGAGGAGGUGCCCUACAUGGCUGAAGAUGAUAUAAACCAUGAAGCCAUAUGAUGGAGAACGAGAACUUCAUCACUUGGAAAGAUAUGACGGCUUCCCUGGUGACUAUGAAGCCGAGCCUUCAAUGGAGAGGUAGCCAUUCCAUCCCUAGACAACUACACCAAAGGCCAUUGUCCUCUCAUCCAACGACAAGGACAAUGAAUAAAAGCAUUGAUGUCUAUCAUGUUCUGUUAAUGUCCGCUUGGCUUUAGUUGCCGGAUGUGUGUCGUGUUCUGAAUUUGGCAGAAACCAUGCUAUUCUAUGUUUUGUUGUGUCCAGUAAAUUGGUGAACUUUGAGAUGAGAUAUGUGAGAACAUAAAUAUUAUUUACUUGGCCUUUCUCCUA